rnacentral:rRNA from 1 species
CCUACGGGAGGCAGCAGUGGGGAAUAUUGGACAAUGGGCGAAAGCCUGAUCCAGCAAUGCCGCGUGAGUGAUGAAGGCCUUAGGGUUGUAAAGCUCUUUUACCAGGGAUGAUAAUGACAGUACCUGGAGAAUAAGCUCCGGCUAACUCCGUGCCAGCAGCCGCGGUAAUACGGAGGGAGCUAGCGUUGUUCGGAAUUACUGGGCGUAAAGCGUACGUAGGCGGUUAUUCAAGUCAGAGGUGAAAGCCUGGAGCUCAACUCCAGAACUGCCUUUGAAACUAGAUAGCUAGAAUCUUGGAGAGGUGAGUGGAAUUCCGAGUGUAGAGGUGAAAUUCGUAGAUAUUCGGAAGAACACCAGUGGCGAAGGCGACUCACUGGACAAGUAUUGACGCUGAGGUACGAAAGCGUGGGGAGCAAACAGGAUUAGAUACCCUGGUAGUCCACGCCGUAAACGAUGAUAACUAGCUGUUCGGGCUCUACGAGCUUGAGUGGCGCAGCUAACGCAUUAAGUUAUCCGCCUGGGGAGUACGGUCGCAAGNUUAAAACUCAAAGUUAGUUAGUGCGNGNGAGNGCGACGACGACGACGAGGAGGAGGAG